UCCAGCUUAAACGCUGGCAGUCUGAUAUGAAAAGCAACAUAUCAUGAGGGUUGCGCUCGUUCUCCCACUUAAGGGAACAUCUCACGACACGAGCUGACGACAACCGUGCAGCACCUGUGUAUCACUCUCGAAGAUCACACGUUUCCGUGCGCUUGAAGAUACAUGUCAAACCCUGGUAAGGUUCCUCGCUUAUCGUCGAAUUAAACCACAUGCUCCACCGCUUGUGCGGGUCCCCGUCAAUUCCUUUGAGUUUUAGUCUUGCGACCGUACUCCCCAGGCGGAAUGCUUAUCGCGUUAGCUGCGGCACAUACGAGGGUCGAUACUCGCGUAUGCCUAGCAUUCAUCGUUUACAGCGUGGACUA
rnacentral:misc_RNA from 1 species